rnacentral:rRNA from 1 species
GCAAGUCUGGUGCCAGCAGCCGCGGUAAUUCCAGCUCCAAUAGCGUAUAUUAAUUUUGCUGCGGUUAAAAAGCUCGUAGUUGGAUCUCGGUUUCGGGCGAGUGGUGCACCUCGGUGUUUACUGUUUGCCCGGACGAUUUUGCUGGUUCGUUUAUGGUUCUCUUAACCGAGUGCCAUAAGUGGCCAGCAGGUUUACUUUGAAAAAAUUGGAGUGCUCAAAGCAGGCUACAGCCUGAACAUUAGUGCAUGGAAUAAUGGAAUAGGAUCUCGGUUCUAUUUCGUUGGCUUUCGGAGUCGAGGUAAUGAUUAAUAGGGACAGACGGGGGCAUUCGUACUGCGACGUUAGAGGUGAAAUUCUUGGAUCGUCGCAAGACGAACUACUGCGAAAGCAUUUGCCAAGAAUGUUUUCAUUAAUCAAGAACGAAAGU